rnacentral:lncRNA from 1 species
AGUCUCAAGGAAUGUUUGACUCAUGUAUGGUAUUGUAACAUCAUGCAUGGAUCACUCGAAAAAUAUUAGUUGAUAUUUAAUAUUUAAUAAUUUAUGUGGAUCUUCCAUAGACACAUUUUAUUAGAUAAUAUCAUCAAUAAAUCACAUUUGUUAAUAUCAUUACUGAGCUCCAUAGUAAAGUUUUUAAAUAUUGCAAAGUUUAAAAGUUAACCCUUAGUCACUCUGGCUUUCUGUCUGCAGUCACUGUCUGUACUGUAGCACAGGAAGACAUGCCAAGCAAAGCAUGACAUUCUCACUAAGCUGGUAAGACAGAUAUCAGAGAUUGAUGAUGAUGAGGCAGAUAGAAUGCAUGGGACAUGAUACUGAAGAGAAAAGUACUGUGCAGAAUAGAUGUACCACAAACUCACAGUGGUGCCCUAAUGUCUUUGAUCCAA